CGGAGUAGCUCAGUGGUAGAGCAGCUGAUUUGUAAUCAGCGGGUCGGGGGUUCAAAUCCCUUCUCCG
rnacentral:tRNA from 1 species